UAGGGAAUCUUCGGCAAUGGACGAAAGUCUGACCGAGCAACGCCGCGUGAGUGAAGAAGGUUUUCGGAUCGUAAAACUCUGUUGUUAGAGAAGAACAAGGACGUUAGUAACUGAACGUCCCCUGACGGUAUCUAACCAGAAAGCCACGGCUAACUACGUGCCAGCAGCCGCGGUAAUACGUAGGUGGCAAGCGUUGUCCGGAUUUAUUGGGCGUAAAGCGAGCGCAGGCGGUUUCUUAAGUCUGAUGUGAAAGCCCCCGGCUCAACCGGGGAGGGUCAUUGGAAACUGGGAGACUUGAGUGCAGAAGAGGAGAGUGGAAUUCCAUGGGUAGCGGUGAAAUGCGUAGAUAUAUGGGGGAACACCAGUGGCGAAGGCGGCUCUCUGGUCUGUAACUGACGCUGAGGCUCGAAAGCGUGGGGAGCAAACAGG
rnacentral:rRNA from 1 species